GUAGGUGGCAAGCGUUGUUCGGAAUUAUUGGGCGUAAAGCGCGCGCAGGCGGUUUUUUAAGUCUGAUGUGAAAGCCCACGGCUCAACCGUGGAGGGUCAUUGGAAACUGGAGAACUUGAGUACAGAAGAGGAAAGCGGAAUUCCACGUGUAGCGGUGAAAUGCGUAGAGAUGUGGAGGAACACCAGUGGCGAAGGCGGCUUUCUGGUCUGUAACUGACGCUGAGGCGCGAAAGCGUGGGGAGCAAACAGGGAUUAGAUACCCUGGUAGUCCACGCCGUAAACGAUGAGUGCUAAGUGUUAGGGGGUUUCCCGCCCCUUAGUGCUGCAGCUAACGCAUUAAGCACUCCGCCUGGGGAGUACGGCCGCAAGGCUG
rnacentral:rRNA from 1 species